UGGGGAAUCUUGCGCAAUGGUCGAAAGACUGACGCAGCGACGCCGCGUGCGGGAGGAAGCCCUUCGGGGUGUAAACCGCUGUUACUCGGGACGAACUUCCCGAUUUGUCGGGAUUGACGGUACCGGGGGAGGAAGCACCGGCUAACUCUGUGCCAGCAGCCGCGGUAAUACAGAGGGUGCGAGCGUUGUCCGGAAUCACUGGGCGUAAAGGGCGCGUAGGCGGCUUUUCACGCGUGCGGUGAAAGCUCGGGGCUUAACUCCGAGUCUGCCGUGCGAACGGGGAGGCUUGAGUCUGGUAGAGGUCGAUGGAAUUCCGGGUGUAGCGGUGGAAUGCGUAGAGAUCCGGAAGAACACCGGUGGCGAAGGCGGUCGACUGGGCCAGUACUGACGCUGAGGCGCGACAGCGUGGGGAGCAAACAGG
rnacentral:rRNA from 1 species